UUCAUAAAACACAGGUCUAAUUUUGUUGCUUUACUCUCACAUGUGUGUGAGGGCCACACAUCAUCACUCUGAACUCAGCUGUUUAUGUGUGAGCAGUGGUGCAGCAUGGGUGCCAGACUGAGGGUCGGUGAGUCUCAUCAUCGACCAGGAUGUGACAUGCUGGCCGAACGGCCGGCUGCAGGAGCCCCAUUGUGCCACACGACAGCUGACUGACGCACAUCCUCAGAGACAAUGCGACCAAGCCAAAAUGGAUUAGACUCUUAUAGUCGGAGGCUUACAGCGAGAAGAGACGCGUGUUCACCGAGGCAAAUGAAGCAGAAAUGCUCCCCAACUUUCACAGCCAGUUAUCAGGAUUUAAAUGUUUCUUGGAACUACAAACUCCAAGGACCUGAGGUGGUCCUCCCACAUAGAUACCACCCAGAAAAGGGCCCAGCAGAUGUGGUACUUCCUGCGACAACUCGGAGCCGAUCUGCCCUCCCUGGGGGACUUGUAGUAGAAAUCGGCCUCAGAAACGUGAGCGCAUCUCCAGGCCGGCUGAGUCAGAGGAGAAGUCGGUUACAACACAGAAACGGUGUGAAAUCCAAGGAGCCGCUUUCUCACACCAAAGUGAGAACUACUGUUUUUAUGCACAAAAUUGCAUAUAUGCCAAUACGGUGCAGACUGCUGGGGAGACAUGAUUAACAGAAGAAGUUCCAUGGAGGAACCAGGGCAGAGCUACAACGCACGCAAUAGCCCACUGAGUAAACCACAUCCUCUUAAGAAGAAAAAAAACAAAAAACUGCUUAACAUACAAAAACUGAGCGUAACAAAAGGAGAGCGGACGUGCAGAAAUGCUCCCCAAACUUAAACGUUGGCGCACUAAAACGAUCAGUCGCAGAAGCUGGGAAUGAACACGUGAAACCGUUCAUUUUAGACAUCCCACCCCCGCUGAGCGCAGGACAAACAGGUUGGUGUGCCGACUCAAAUGACUGCCGUCACCAAUGGCAACACACAGACACUCACCCAUAAACUCUAACUACUGAGGUCAGUGGUGAGGAAAUGUAAAUAUAAGAAGCCCCCCCGCCCCCAACCCCGGAUGUAGACAGGAAAUCACUAGCUGUGAUAUUUACAGCAUUAAACCAUGAGUCUGUUGACGAUCUGCCUGAUACAGCAAACACGUUAUAUGAUCUGCAACAUUAUGUCUGUUAGCUUAACCUAGUACAAAGACUGGAAACAGGGUGAAAGAGCUAGUCUGGCUCUCUCCCUGGGUGAUCCAUCAGUGUGAUGGAAGACAAGACAUGGCUGCAGAACUCAAACAAACAGGUUUGCUUCCUUCAAUCUAUGAAUCUCUGUUAGCUCUAACAAAUAUUCAUGCUAGCACUUAAUCUGGUGAGUAAAAACUCUGCAGAGGCCAAACAUUUCUGAUGUUCCUGUUACGUAAACCACAUUGCGAGUGCCAAAUCCCAUUUAACCAGCUUGAGUCUGUAUUAGAUUCAGCACGAACAGUCCCGAGCCAAGAAUUCUUCUCAGGGACCCAGAUUUGC